AGGUGCAGUUCAGCGGGCAAUCACGUGCCGUUCACGCAGCAGUCACCCGCACGUCACCCGCACGUAACAUCCCCCUCGCCGCCCGCAUGCCUGAGCCCUCCAGCCCCUUGGACGGCGAAAGCCCUCCCUGGGGAGAUUAUUGCCACAUGGAUAACUCCCGACGAGUGAGGGCGAAGGAGAGGGGCGCUACAAGGGGAGAUCCUUGAUCGUGUCGGCGGUAACGGGUCGUCCACCAUGUGAAGACGGCCCGGCCAGAGGACCGCUGACGGCCAUCGCUUGGGUUCACGGCCACCUCGGUCUCAUGCACACAUUUCGCCUCUGGAACGAACAUGCGAGCUUGCACGCUCCUCUGCAUGCUACAGGGACGAACAGCCUGUAGAGCCAUCGAACAAACAAUGCCUCUUUUGGACAGAUGAAAAAGAAUCCGAUAAGUGAUAGCAACACCUAAUCACGAACUUUACUUGUGAUCUUUACCGCGUGAACACCUCAUGAUCGUAUCUGUUGACGAGAAGCAGCCCAUGGCUUUUAGUACCUGAAGAGACUCAACCUUCAGUGCCACUAUCAGUAUCAGACAGCGACGUGCGGUGAAUAGGUCUCUGCGCACACGCACGCACAUUCCCAUACACACAGACAAGAACAAACACAUCCACAUAUACAUACAAACACAUUUAAACACGCAUACGCACAAAAACAUAACACAUAUACGCCCACAUCCACACAUAAAAAAAAACAGAUAGAAACACACAAACACAAACACACGCACACACACACACGCACACACACUUAGACACACGCCUCCUCAGCCAGCCAAUCUUAGAGGCCCCCUGAGGGUACGCCCACUUUAAGAGCUCGCUCGCUGGUUACUUGACAGCGCGCCUCUCAACGAAGGUUUAAAAAAGCGAAUUCCCGAACCCCCGUCACAAGCAAGCGGCUUCCUUGCGCCCCUCCGUGUCCCUGGCUCCCGUACAGUGCCUCUCCUGACCCAGUUGGCACCGGUGCCAGGCGGCCGGACACCUGCACUCUACCGCGCCGCGCGCCGUCAUCGCCCCUCGUUUCCCCUCGUCUGGUCAGCUCUCCAACAAGGAAGAAUUACCUGGACGACACAGGUGCAACAUGCGCCACGUCACGUAAGUCACUUCGAAAUACUUGCGAAGUCUUUUGGACGCGCCGUUGAAAAAAUAAUUGACGUUGCAAAUUUAAUCUUGCAAGUUCAUACCACAAAGCGUUCUUGUAGGAGACAAUUGGCACGCGCUUGCACGUUUCCCUUCCUGGUGUGACCGACUGGCUUAUUGAGAACGAGGAAGUACAGGCGGAUUUUUCUCUCUUUUUUUUUUCUUUUCCUCAAAUUCUCUACCUCCAUCUUGGUAAACAACGGAUGAAUUUUGCUGUCACAAUAACCUAGAGUGAGUCAAAGGGAGGUGUUAUACUCAUCGACCUGCAACAUGUAGGUCGGUCAUGUUGUUUAUCACUGGUAAGGAAUCGGAAUAUGUUUUGGGAUUCAUUUUUACCAACGUUUCAGUCACCUAUACGACCGAUCUCUAUUUACUUAAUCAUAUGAUUAUAACGUUGUUCUUGCUGCAAUUUCCUUCGUGUUGCUCGUUAAAUAAAUCUCAACAGAACAUAAACAUCAUGAACAACUUUAAAAGAAAUCAAGUAUAUAAGGAUUUUGAAAGUUUCACAUCAGAAAAAUUAGAAUUUUACAUAUUAUUUUUUCUAAGACAAGAUAAUGGUAUCUAGCAUCUGGUCGCCUCAUUAUAUUUGUUACGUAACAGAAGCUUUUAAUGUGAAUUCGUUAAACGUAUACGUAAACGUAAUGCGUGUGUAUACGUAUGUAUGUGUGU
rnacentral:misc_RNA from 1 species